AGGAUAAGCGACAUCGGGGCAGGUCCUGGGUAGAGUCCAGGUUGGCGGUUCCUGGGGCAGGGCCAGGAUAGGGCGAUCCUGGAAGCUGGGCUUCGGAAGCGUCCAGCUGUUGUUCCCCACCAGAACCAAAUGAGCGCAAGAUCUGACAAAGAAAAAAAAAGGUUCAUCUUUUAUUCCUCCAAACACUUUCAUUUAAAUCAAGAGGAUGGGAUGUGGUUAUUGCUGUGUUUUUAGACAGAAUCAACGGUUUCUGGGUCUGAGAUGUUGCAUACACCUUCUCAGUCCCUGUAUCCUGAGAUGGAGUCACCUGAGAAUCCACAGCAAGUCCUAACCAGGGAUGGGUCUGGGUGAUUAAGGAAGGUUGGCUUCAGAACUGGGCCAGGGGCACUGCUUUGCUUUUGCUGUUUUGAUCAGCUCUCUGCCUGAAGGAGACAAGAAAAACCAACGGGAACAGCCCAGUAAAGGCGCCAUUCCCCAUUUUACAGCUGGGGAAACUGAGUUACAGAGCUUGUCUGCACUGAGUCAUCAGGAGCAAAUGCUAGAUCAGAUAGGGUCUCUCUCUCUGCCACCCAGGCCAGAGUGCAGUUGACGCAGGGCAGGGGAGCCCCGAAGUGGAGCAUAGUGUGUCCGGAACUGGUGGGUUCUUGGUCUCACUGACUUCAAGAAAGAAGCCGCGGACCCUCGCGAGACGGGGUCUUGCUCUGUUGCUCAAGCUGGA
rnacentral:lncRNA from 1 species